UACCAUGCAGUCGACGGAAGGCCCUGCUUUUGUGGGGUGCUCGAGUGGCGAACGGGUGAGUAACACGUGAGUAACCUGCCCUUGACUUUGGGAUAACUUCAGGAAACUGGGGCUAAUACCGGAUAGGAGCUCCUGCUGCAUGGUGGGGGUUGGAAAGUUUCGGCGGUUGGGGAUGGACUCGCGGCUUAUCAGCUUGUUGGUGGGGUAGUGGCUUACCAAGGCUUUGACGGGUAGCCGGCCUGAGAGGGUGACCGGCCACAUUGGGACUGAGAUACGGCCCACACUCCUACGGGAGGCAGCAGUGGGGAAUAUUGCACAAUGGGCGGAAGCCUGAUGCAGCAACGCCGCGUGCGGGAUGACGGCCUUCGGGUUGUAAACCGCUUUCGCCUGUGACAAAGCGUGAGUGACGGUUAUGGGUAAAGAAGCACCGGCAAACUACGUGCCAGC
rnacentral:rRNA from 1 species